UACGGAGGAUGCGAGCGUUAUCCGGAUUUAUUGGGUUUAAAGGGUGCGUAGGCGGAUCGUUAAGUCAGUGGUCAAAUUGAGGGGCUCAACCCCUUCCCGCCAUUGAAACUGGCGAUCUUGAGUGGAAGAGAAGUAUGCGGAAUGCGUGGUGUAGCGGUGAAAUGCAUAGAUAUCACGCAGAACCCCGAUUGCGAAGGCAGCAUGCCGGCUUCCUACCGACGCUGAAGCACGAAAGCGUGGGGAUCGAACAGG
rnacentral:rRNA from 1 species